AAAAAAAAAAACGUACUCCUACCUUGUAUUGGGCUGAGAGUUGGCCUGCCUUCUCCCCGAUCAGCUUCUCCACCGCACGCUGCUCCGCCGCCUCCACGCUCAUCACCGCCGCCACCGCGCCUGCUAAAUCCAAAGUUUUAUCCAUCAUCAAAGGGACGCGUCGAUUCGUUGAUUGCUGCUGCUGUGCAGUGCGGCUCGAUCAGCGUACGCACCGAUGGCGACGAACGCCGGGGCGAGCGGCCGCCGGGCGUGGACGGCGACGACCUCGGCGGAGCCGGGAGGGAACCUCGCCGCGGCGAGCCGCGCCGCCUCCUCCAGCGCGUGGUAGCUGUGCUCGCUGUAGUCCACCCCGACGAGCACCGUCGUCGUCGCCGUCGUCGCGUCCCCGGUUGCAGCAUCAGUCGCCGCCGCCAUUGCAGGUAAUUUUCAGGGCAACGCACUGGCUCCGGUUUUGGGCACAACUACAAAGGUGUGAGAUGAUGGGGAGUUCCUAAAAGUUGCAUGUCACAAGUUGGAGUCGAUGGUUAUGUAAUUAUCUGCCAAUUAUGGAUGGAGGUUCACAAAUAGACUUUAAUAAAUAUGUUCUCCUUAUUUUGGCUUGGUUUUCUCUGUUUUUGUUUGGUGUGUCCUAUUUAGCUGAACUACGCUCUUUUCUGGAUUGCUACAAUGUAAUAAUUGGCUGUAGCUCUUUUUGAGCAAAGGCUGAGAUGUUAAAUUCCAUUAUCUUAAAAAAAUAAAACUGUGGGUAUUUCCUGCUGAUAUUUA